rnacentral:lncRNA from 1 species
UAUGCAUAAUGUAAAUAGGUAGAUUAUGCCAUUUUCAAUAAAACCCUACAAAAAUAAACUAUUUCAAAAUUUAAACUCAAGCUUAUAUUGUUUGUUUAAAGUGAGAAACAACACUUUAGCUUUGCCGAGUAAAACCUUUUUCCUGAGACUUUAGAUAAUAUUUAUCCAAGAAGGAAGUAUGAUGUCUCAAUAUAUUUUCCUUCAAUUCUCGAGAAUGGUUUACUCCAUGAGGAAAAGUUAUGGAUAUCAUAGAACAUAUACGUAGAGAUGAAAAUUGUGUAUAAUUUGAACAUGGUAUUAAAAAAGAAACGGAAAAUCAACAUGGCAAUCCUGACAAUUUGAAGAAUGGUUUGGAGGAGAACAACACUGUUAAGUGAUCUAUUGCAAUGUAUUUGGACGUCAAAAUGGGACCCUGAAAUAAAAGACUUAAAACCUUACUGUCUACCACCAAUGUAUCCCUUUAAUGCCUAGUUUGAUUAUUUUCAGACACUAAUAUUGAUUAAAAUCAUGUUAUUACAUCGUUAUACAAUCUAUGGAAAUUCAAGGGAAUACUUGAAGCAAAUCCUCAGAAAACCCACAUCCUAGAAGCCAGUGGCAGUUGAGCGGUGAUUCCUUCCCUGUUCCCACACUUAUAUAUAGGACGUCAGAUGUAUAGUCUAUAGGUGCCGUUGUAUCUCAUUAUUAAUU